AGAGUUUUGAACCUAUUGGUGAUAGCAGUGUACACAUACCCUAAAUAGAAGUUCUUUGUGUAUGUGUGUAUGUGACAGAGGCUGGCACUAAAGUAAAAGUGCCAAGCUGACUCUCCUUGUCGAGGAAGGGGACCCAGGAAGCUGGAAUCUUGAGGAGCCAGAAGGUUCCUUUUGAAGAGCAGUUGGUCUCUCAGUUUGAAGCUGAAGAGAGAGGGCUGGUUAAGACUUUCUCCUGAGGGUUACCCACCUUUACCUGCUAGUGACUGGAAAUCCUUCCCCCCUAAAUUUUCCAAUUGAAAACACUACUGAGAAAGGACACUUAGUAUAGAAAAAAAUAAAAAUAAAAAUCUCUGCUGCUCCAGACUACUUGAUCAACAAAUAGUGGGUUCUGAAUGGAAUGAAAAGAGAUUCAAAUUGGGAGUGAGAGGACUCAUGAGGCUGAAGGGAGCCUUCCUCCAAACUGGGCCAUAACUGGGCAUGUAGUAGACAAGCAUACUUCUCCGCUUUUGCCUGCAGGCAUUCAGCCCCCGAUCCAGACCUGAUUCAACCAAGAUUGCAAUCACCUGGUUCCCAAUCUCCAGGCCCUGCCUGCCUGUUUCUGUGCCCCAGACCCACGAGUGUGACCCCAGCUGGCUCAUCAUCCAGAUCCUCGGAGCAGAUCACUCAGGACUCAUUGCAACCAGCUGUAUUAGAACUGGACUAAGUUCUACUGUGUCCUCUACAUUCUUAUCUAAGGAAUCUCCAAGCAGCUUAACCCUGUCAAAAGAAGACUGUACCAAGUGACCUCUGCAGGAAGCCCCAACAUUCCAGACUUCCAGUCCUUAGUUGUGUCUUUCCAGAGUGGAGCAUAUCACGCUACCCACAGAAAGUCUCUUUCUUAUCACUACUCGCAUCACAAAUAAAGGAAAGAGCUGUCUGAGGCCA
rnacentral:lncRNA from 1 species